rnacentral:rRNA from 1 species
GAACGGUAACAGGAAGCAGCUUGCUGCUUCGCUGACGAGUGGCGGACGGGUGAGUAAUGUCUGGGAAACUGCCUGAUGGAGGGGGAUAACUACUGGAAACGGUAGCUAAUACCGCAUAAUGUCGCAAGACCAAAGAGGGGGACCUUCGGGCCUCUUGCCAUCGGAUGUGCCCAGAUGGGAUUAGCUAGUAGGUGGGGUAACGGCUCACCUAGGCGACGAUCCCUAGCUGGUCUGAGAGGAUGACCAGCCACACUGGAACUGAGACACGGUCCAGACUCCUACGGGAGGCAGCAGUGGGGAAUAUUGCACAAUGGGCGCAAGCCUGAUGCAGCCAUGCCGCGUGUAUGAAGAAGGCCUUCGGGUUGUAAAGUACUUUCAGCGGGGAGGAAGGGAGUAAAGUUAAUACCUUUGCUCAUUGACGUUACCCGCAGAAGAAGCACCGGCUAACUCCGUGCCAGCAGCCGCGGUAAUACGGAGGGUGCAAGCGUUAAUCGGAAUUACUGGGCGUAAAGCGCACGCAGGCGGUUUGUUAAGUCAGAUGUGAAAUCCCCGGGCUCAACCUGGGAACUGCAUCUGAUACUGGCAAGCUUGAGUCUCGUAGAGGGGGGUAGAAUUCCCAGGUGUAGCCGGUGAAAUGCGUAGAGCUCCUGGAGGAAUACC